AACGAACGCUUGGCGGCAGGCCUAACACAUGCAAGUCGAGCGAGACCUUUCGGGUCUAGCGGCGACGGGUUAGUAACGCGUGGGAACGUGCCCUUCUCUGCGGAAUAGCCAUGGAAACGGUGAGUAAUACCGCAUACGCCCUUCGGGGAAAGGAUUUAUCGGAGAAGGAUCGGCCCGCGUUAGAUUAGAUAGUUGGUGGGUAACGGCCUACCAAGUCUACGAUCUAUAGCUGGUUUUAGUAGGAUGAUCAGCAACACUGGGACGUGAGACACGGCCCAGACUCCUACGGGAGGCAGCAGUGGGGAAUCUUAGACAAUGGGCGCAAGCCUGAUCUAGCCAUGCCGCGUGUGUGAUGAAGGUCUUAGGAUCGUAAAGCACUUUCGCCAGGGAUGAUAAUGACAGUACCUGGUAAGAAACCCCGGCUAACUCCGUG
rnacentral:rRNA from 1 species